rnacentral:tRNA from 1 species
GGGACGGUAGCUUAGCCUGGUAGAGCACUUGACUGAUAUCGCAUGUCAGAGAUCAAGAGGUCGCCAGUUCAAAUCUGGUCCGUCCCA